UGACAGUUGUACAAAAAGUAUUUUUUGUAGUUCACUAAAAUCGUACAUACAAUCAUUCUGAAGAUGUGGCUCAAAUAUUAGGAAUAUUUAUAGUGGAAAAACCGAUCGACUAUUCGAAAUUUAUGAUCCAGUCACGUUCACAGUGGAAAAUGGUAGUACAAUGAAAGUAAUGGAAUGUAUAAUAAUAUAUGGAUGUGCAAGUUUAUGGCCACUCUAUAUGUGAUAGGUGUAUUACCUCAAGAGAAGUAGGCGAUAAACAAUAAAAACAGCAGCGACCCAAGAAUGGAACCCUGUGGUAUCCCUAAUGUGGCUAAUUAGUCCAUCGAUUUGUGGCAAUCAAUUUCAUCAUAUCUUAGAAUGAGUAGGAUCUGAGAAGCUUCACCAGAUCAGCAGUGGAUCCAAAUAGAUAAAUUUCUUGGCAGAUUGGUUAUACAUCUUUCUUCAUGUUGGAAUCCAUGUUGAUCUUUCAACAUUAUGCUAAAUAUGCUGAAAGAUAAAUGAGAAGCGAAAAUGUAUUUUCUGAAGACAUAUAUGUCAACAAAAUAUCUGUUACUUCGAAAAAUUUUUUCAAUUCGCUAUUGUUUAUUCUUUUAUAGUAUGAACUUUCAAAUCAGGUGAUUUUUUCGAUAUAAAUCAUCGAAAAGUUUUUAUCCAACAUUUUACCUUAUCGAAUCGAGUCAAAUCAAACUAUUCAUUCCAGAAUUGUCAGUUGCACAAUUUAUUAUGUAUAGAAAAAUGCUUGUAGUGCUAAUUUCUGCACGAGGAAAGACUUUUUUUCUCUCAAUUUAAAUUUUUGGUGCAAAUUA